rnacentral:lncRNA from 1 species
GUGGAAUUAUGUUCCCGGGGGAUUAUGGCUGCCUCUGCUGAGUCAUAAAUGUUGCCAGGGAAGUAGAGGAAAGCCAGCAGUCACAGGCCUCACCCCACUCCCAUGCAGCCUGCAUUCUUAAAGGUCAGUCUCACUCCCACUGUGCCACCCCAACAGCAUUGAGUGUAUUUGCAGGAAGCUGGUGGCCAGGGCUGAGAACUUGCCCCAGACUAUGAGCCACUGCAUUGAGAAAGCAAGCAGACUUGCAGUUUUUCAGUGUCUCAGGGAGCCUGCAGCAGCGAUCCAGUUCCCUCAAAGGGGAGCCUGAGUGCAUGCCUAACAAGAUUCAGGGAUGAGAGGAAGAAAAGGAAGCCAGGGCUUCUCGAAAGCUGACUUCUAUCUCGUGCUGGGCAGGUUCACUGAAGAAUUACAAAGCUGAAAGGUUUGUACUGAGGUCGUGGGGCAGACACAAGCAGCUUGUGCAAUCCCUGCAGUGCUGGAUGAAAAUCAGCACGCGGCAAAUAGGACCUCCGUCCACACAGCCAGGUGUAUGCAAAUGCUUCCUUACCAUUGUUCAAUUCAAGGCAGACGUCCAGAUCAGCUGGGAGCACAGGAGGCAAACAAAAGACUGCAGGAGCUGCAGGUGACUUCAGCCGGAGCCACCGAGCUCUGGGCAUGUUCAAGCGCAGAGGCCGCCCUUGCUCCUCGUUCCCGCAUUUCAGAGUGGACUCUGAGAUCCUGCUUCUGGCUCUCCUCAGAGUCCUGAUUUCCCACAGCUGUCUUCAUCUGAGUCUCGUUCACAAGCCUGACCUGCUCCCGAUCUCCACCCCGGCCCAGCUCUGUGCUCCUGCUUGGCCAAGGUCCUCCUCUCCGGUUGACCCACUGGGCUCCCCGGUGCCAUGAAACUUGCUGGACAGUUAAUGUUACCUGAAAAGAACUGAGACCAUUCUGUGUUGAAAUCCCAAUUCUCUUCCUUUCCAAACUGUGAGCUUGGUGGAGUUCUUUAACAUCUCUUAACCUGAGUUUAACUCAUCUGUACAAUGGGGAUAGUGGUUUCCUGUCACAGAGUUUUGUGCGAACGGAAUGAAACAACAUAUAUAAGGUUUCUAGCACAGAGUAAGUGCUCAGUGCAAGUUAGCUGGACUUGUAGCUCUUAGCUAUGAAUAUUUCAGCUAACACAUCUGCAGCUGGAAGCUACUGGUAAUUCUGUGUGAUUCUAUUACCCUCAGUAGCCUUCUUUUCAGACAAUAAGACACAUGGAUGUUUGAUGCAUUGUAGACUGUGUAUUUAUUUUACCAUUUAAUUUAUUUAAUGAAGUUUUUUCCCUGAAGUUAUAUAUAUGUAUAUAUAUAUAUGUAUAUAUUCUCUUUAUAGAAAAUCUGUGUACCUACCCACC